rnacentral:rRNA from 1 species
GAUGAACGCUGGCGGCGUGCUUAACACAUGCAAGUCGAACGGAACUACUCCAAUGAGAGUCUUCGGAAAGGAUUUGGUUUAGUUUAGUGGCGGACGGGUGAGUAACGCGUGGGUAACCUGCCCUAUACAGGGGGAUAACAGUUGGAAACGACUGUUAAUACCGCAUAAGCGCACAGGAGAGCAUGCUCCGGUGUGAAAAACUCCGGUGGUAUAGGAUGGACCCGCGUCUGAUUAGCUGGUUGGCGGGGUAACGGCCCACCAAGGCGACGAUCAGUAGCCGGCCUGAGAGGGUGAACGGCCACAUUGGGACUGAGACACGGCCCAAACUCCUACGGGAGGCAGCAGUGGGGAAUAUUGCACAAUGGGGGAAACCCUGAUGCAGCGACGCCGCGUGAGCGAAGAAGUAUCUCGGUAUGUAAAGCUCUAUCAGCAGGGAAGAAAAUGACGGUACCUGACUAAGAAGCCCCGGCUAACUACGUG